UACAGAGGGUGCAAGCGUUGUUCGGAGUUAUUGGGCGUAAAGCGCGUGUAGGCGGCUUUGCAAGUCGGGUGUGAAAGCCCUCAGCUCAACCGUGGAAGUGCAUCCGAAACUGCAUAGCUUGAGUCUCGGAGAGGAAGGUGGAAUGCUUGGUGUAGAGGUGAAAUUCGUAGAUAUCAAGCAGAACACCUGCGGCGAAGGCGGCCUUCUGGACGAUGACUGACGCUGAGACGCGAAAGCGUGGGGAGCAAACAGG
rnacentral:rRNA from 1 species